rnacentral:rRNA from 4 species
AGAGUUUGAUCAUGGCUCAGAUUGAACGCUGGCGGCAGGCCUAACACAUGCAAGUCGAACGGUAACAGGAAGCAGCUUGCUGCUUUGCUGACGAGUGGCGGACGGGUGAGUAAUGUCUGGGAAACUGCCUGAUGGAGGGGGAUAACUACUGGAAACGGUGGCUAAUACCGCAUAACGUCGCAAGACCAAAGAGGGGGACCUUCGGGCCUCUUGCCAUCAGAUGUGCCCAGAUGGGAUUAGCUUGUUGGUGAGGUAACGGCUCACCAAGGCGACGAUCCCUAGCUGGUCUGAGAGGAUGACCAGCCACACUGGAACUGAGACACGGUCCAGACUCCUACGGGAGGCAGCAGUGGGGAAUAUUGCACAAUGGGCGCAAGCCUGAUGCAGCCAUGCCGCGUGUAUGAAGAAGGCCUUCGGGUUGUAAAGUACUUUCAGCGGGGAGGAAGGUGUUGUGGUUAAUAACCGCAGCAAUUGACGUUACCCGCAGAAGAAGCACCGGCUAACUCCGUGCCAGCAGCCGCGGUAAUACGGAGGGUGCAAGCGUUAAUCGGAAUUACUGGGCGUAAAGCGCACGCAGGCGGUCUGUCAAGUCGGAUGUGAAAUCCCCGGGCUCAACCUGGGAACUGCAUUCGAAACUGGCAGGCUUGAGUCUUGUAGAGGGGGGUAGAAUUCCAGGUGUAGCGGUGAAAUGCGUAGAGAUCUGGAGGAAUACCGGUGGCGAAGGCGGCCCCCUGGACAAAGACUGACGCUCAGGUGCGAAAGCGUGGGGAGCAAACAGGAUUAGAUACCCUGGUAGUCCACGCCGUAAACGAUGUCUACUUGGAGGUUGUGCCCUUGAGGCGUGGCUUCCGGAGCUAACGCGUUAAGUAGACCGCCUGGGGAGUACGGCCGCAAGGUUAAAACUCAAAUGAAUUGACGGGGGCCCGCACAAGCGGUGGAGCAUGUGGUUUAAUUCGAUGCAACGCGAAGAACCUUACCUGGUCUUGACAUCCACAGAACUUUCCAGAGAUGGAUUGGUGCCUUCGGGAACUGUGAGACAGGUGCUGCAUGGCUGUCGUCAGCUCGUGUUGUGAAAUGUUGGGUUAAGUCCCGCAACGAGCGCAACCCUUAUCCUUUGUUGCCAGCGGUCCGGCCGGGAACUCAAAGGAGACUGCCAGUGAUAAACUGGAGGAAGGUGGGGAUGACGUCAAGUCAUCAUGGCCCUUACGACCAGGGCUACACACGUGCUACAAUGGCGCAUACAAAGAGAAGCGACCUCGCGAGAGCAAGCGGACCUCAUAAAGUGCGUCGUAGUCCGGAUUGGAGUCUGCAACUCGACUCCAUGAAGUCGGAAUCGCUAGUAAUCGUGGAUCAGAAUGCCACGGUGAAUACGUUCCCGGGCCUUGUACACACCGCCCGUCACACCAUGGGAGUGGGUUGCAAAAGAAGUAGGUAGCUUAACCUUCGGGGGGGCGCUUACCACUUUGUGAUUCAUGACUGGGGUGAAGUCGUAACAAGGUAACCGUAGGGGAACCUGCGGUUGGAUCACCU